UCAUUGGUGGAUCAGUGGUAGAAUUCUUACCUUUCAUGUCAGAGACUUGGGUUCAAUUCCUAGCCAAAGCA
rnacentral:tRNA from 1 species